CGAACGGGUGAGUAACGCGUGGGUAAUCUACCUAGAGGUGGGGGAUAGCCUCGGGAAACCGGGGGUAAUACCGCAUGAGUCCUUUCCAACAUAAGUUGGAUUGGGGAAAGGCGGGGAUCUUCGGACCUGUCGCCUCUAGAUGAGCCCGCGUCCGAUUAGCUAGUUGGUAGGGUAAUGGCCUACCAAGGCACCGAUCGGUAGCCGGCCUGAGAGGGUGAACGGCCACAUUGGGACUGAGACACGGCCCAG
rnacentral:rRNA from 1 species